rnacentral:rRNA from 1 species
AUUGAACGCUGGCGGCAGGCCUAACACAUGCAAGUCGAGCGGAUGAAGGGAGCUUGCUCCUGGAUUCAGCGGCGGACGGGUGAGUAAUGCCUAGGAAUCUGCCUGGUAGUGGGGGAUAACGUCCGGAAACGGGCGCUAAUACCGCAUACGUCCUGAGGGAGAAAGUGGGGGAUCUUCGGACCUCACGCUAUCAGAUGAGCCUAGGUCGGAUUAGCUAGUUGGUGGGGUAAAGGCCUACCAAGGCGACGAUCCGUAACUGGUCUGAGAGGAUGAUCAGUCACACUGGAACUGAGACACGGUCCAGACUCCUACGGGAGGCAGCAGUGGGGAAUAUUGGACAAUGGGCGAAAGCCUGAUCCAGCCAUGCCGCGUGUAUGAAGAAGGUCUUCGGAUUGUAAAGCACUUUAAGUUGGGAGGAAGGGCAGUAAGUUAAUACCUUGCUGUUUUGACGUUACCAACAGAGUAAGCACCGGCUAACUUCGUG